rnacentral:rRNA from 1 species
ACGGGUGAGUAACGCGUGGGAACGUGCCUUCCGGUUCGAAAUAACCCUGGGAAACUAGGGCUAAUACCGGAUACGCCCUUUUGGGGAAAGGUUUACUGCCGGAAGAUCGGCCCGCGUCUGAUUAGCUAGUUGGUGGGGUAACGGCCUACCAAGGCGACGAUCAGUAGCUGGUCUGAGAGGAUGAUCAGCCACACUGGGACUGAGACACGGCCCAGACUCCUACGGGAGGCAGCAGUGGGGAAUAUUGGACAAUGGGCGCAAGCCUGAUCCAGCCAUGCCGCGUGAGUGAUGAAGGCCUUAGGGUUGUAAAGCUCUUUUAUCCGGGACGAUAAUGACGGUACCGGAGGAAUAAGCCCCGGCUAACUUCGUGCCAGCAGCCGCGGUAAUACGAAGGGGGCUAGCGUUGCUCGGAAUCACUGGGCGUAAAGGGCGCGUAGGCGGCGUUUUAAGUCGGGGGUGAAAGCCUGUGGCUCAACCACAGAAUGGCCUUCGAUACUGGGACGCUUGAGUAUGGUAGAGGUUGGUGGAACUGCGAGUGUAGAGGUGAAAUUCGUAGA